UGUCAGCUAAGUGGCGCACGGGUGAGUAAUGCAUAGGUUUACGUGCCCCAUAGUCUAGGAUAACAGUUGGAAACGACUGCUAAUACUGGAUAUUCCCUCCGGGGGAAAGAUUUAUCGCUAUGGGAUCGGCCUAUGUCGUAUCAGCUUGUUGGUGAGGUAAUGGCUCACCAAGGCUAUGACGCGUAACUGGUUUGAGAGGAUGAUCAGUCACACUGGAACUGAGACACGGUCCAGACUCC
rnacentral:rRNA from 1 species